UUACACAUGCAAGUCGAACGCGAAAGCGGGGCAACCCGCAAGUAGAGUGGCGAACGGGUGAGUAAUACAUCGGAACAUUUCCAGUAGCGGGGGAUAACCUGUCGAAAGAUAGGCUAAUACCGCAUACGACCUACGAGUGAAAGCGGAGGACCGCAAGGCUUCGCACUAUUGGAGUGGCCGAUGUCGGAUUAGCUAGUUGGCGGGGUAAAAGCCCACCAAGGCGACGAUCCGUAGCUGGUCUGAGAGGACGAUCAGCCACACUGGAACUGAGACACGGUCCAGACUCCUACGGGAGGCAGCAGUGGGGAAUUUUGGACAAUGGGCGCAAGCCUGAUCCAGCCAUGCCGCGUGAGUGAAGAAGGCCUUCGGGUUGUAAAGCUCUUUCGGCGGGGACGAAAUGGUCCGUGCUAAUACCAUGGACUGAUGACGGUACCCGAAGAAGAAGCACCGGCUAACUACGUGCCAGCAGCCGCGGUAAUACGUAGGGUGCAGGCGUUAAUCGGAAUUACUGGGCGUAAAGCGUGCGCAGGCGGUUUGCUAAGACAGGUGUGAAAUCCCCGGGCUUAACCUGGGAACUGCGCUUGUAACUGGCAAGCUAGAGUGUGGCAGAGGGGGGUGGAAUUCCAAGUGUAGCAGUGAAAUGCGUAGAUAUUUGGAGGAACACCGAUGGCGAAGGCAGCCCCCUGGGCUAACACUGACGCUCAUGCACGAAAGCGUGGGGAGCAAACAGGAUUAGAUACCCUGGUAGUCCACGCCCUAAACUAUGUCAACUGGUUGUCGGGGAAGCAAUUCCUUGGUAACGAAGCUAACGCGUGAAGUUGACCGCCUGGGGAGUACGGCCGCAAGGUAAAACUUAAAG
rnacentral:rRNA from 1 species